GCGAGACACUCUGGACCUGCGGCCCGAUACGACCGAUAAACUGGUCAAGGAACGUCGAGGGGCGCAGCCCCCGGCCGGUCCGCCAAUGAUCAGCCAGCAGCCGCUGCAACCUCAGGGAG
rnacentral:sRNA from 1 species